rnacentral:rRNA from 1 species
UACGUAGGGUGCGAGCGUUAAUCGGAAUUACUGGGCGUAAAGCGCACGUAGGCGGCUUUGUAAGUUAGAGGUGAAAGCCCAGGGCUUAACCCUGGAAUUGCCUUUAAGACUGCAUCGCUAGAAUCGUGGAGAGGUAAGUGGAAUUCCGAGUGUAGAGGUGAAAUUCGUAGAUAUUCGGAAGAACACCAGUGGCGAAGGCGACUGACUGGACAGGUAUUGACGCUGAGGGGCGAAAGCGUGGGGAGCAAACAGG